rnacentral:rRNA from 3 species
UUGACCUCAAAUCAGGUAGGACUACCCGCUGAACUUAAGCAUAUCAAAA